CGCGUAGGCGGUUUACACAGUCAGAUGUGAAAUUCCAGGGCUUAACCUUGGGGCUGCAUUUGAUACGUGUAGACUAGAGUGUGAGAGAGGGUUGUGGAAUUCCCAGUGUAGAGGUGAAAUUCGUAGAUAUUCGGAAGAACACCAGUGGCGAAGGCGACUCGCUGGACAGGUAUUGACGCUGAGGUGCGAAAGCGUGGGGAGCAAACAGGAUUAGAUACCCGUGUA
rnacentral:rRNA from 1 species